rnacentral:rRNA from 1 species
CCUACGGGGGGCAGCAGUGGGGAAUAUUGCACAAUGGGCGCAAGCCUGAUGCAGCCAUGCCGCGUGUGUGAAGAAGGCCUUCGGGUUGUAAAGCACUUUCAGCGGGGAGGAAGGCGGUGAGGUUAAUAACCUCAUCGAUUGACGUUACCCGCAGAAGAAGCACCGGCUAACUCCGUGCCAGCAGCCGCGGUAAUACGGAGGGUGCAAGCGUUAAUCGGAAUUACUGGGCGUAAAGCGCACGCAGGCGGUCUGUCAAGUCGGAUGUGAAAUCCCCGGGCUCAACCUGGGAACUGCAUUCGAAACUGGCAGGCUAGAGUCUUGUAGAGGGGGGUAGAAUUCCAGGUGUAGCGGUGAAAUGCGUAGAGAUCUGGAGGAAUACCGGUGGCGAAGGCGGCCCCCUGGACAGAGACUGACGCUCAGGUGCGAAAGCGUGGGGAGCAAACAGGAUUAGAUACCCGGGUAGUC